rnacentral:tRNA from 1 species
GGGGUUGUAGCUCAGUGGUACAGUGCUUGCCUUGCAAGCGUGAGGCACUGGGUUCGAUCCUCAGCACCA